rnacentral:rRNA from 1 species
GACAGAGGAUGCAAGCGUUAUCCGGAAUGAUUGGGCGUAAAGCGUCUGUAGGUGGCUUUUUAAGUCCGCCGUCAAAUCCCAGGGCUCAACCCUGGACAGGCGGUGGAAACUACCAAGCUGGAGUACGGUAGGGGCAGAGGGAAUUCCUGGUGUAGCGGCGAAAUGCGCAGAUAUCAGGAGGAACACCGGUGGCGAAGGCGGGUCUCUGGGCCGAUACUGACGCUGAGGAGCGAAAGCGUGGGGAGCAAACAGG